rnacentral:misc_RNA from 1 species
AAAAUGUCCUUCACCCUGGAUGAAAGUCCGGGUGGACCAGCCACUUGGGCUCUAAACAUACGUAAUGCCAGUCCGGUCCUCUUGUGGGAUCGUUCGGGUACUCGUUACUUUAAACCAUUGUGAAUCUCCCGUUGCUUUGGCGGCAUGCUUCCUGCUGUCAGCCCGUCUGAAGCUCACUAAAACCAAUUCUGUAAACUUCUGUCAGUAUACGAAAAGUAAAUCGUUA